GAUGAACGCUGGCGGCGUGCCUAAUACAUGCAAGUCGAGCGAACGGACGAGAAGCUUGCUUCUCUGAUGUUAGCGGCGGACGGGUGAGUAACACGUGGAUAACCUACCUAUAAGACUGGGAUAACUUCGGGAAACCGGAGCUAAUACCGGAUGAUAUUUUGAACCGCAUGGUUCAAAAGUGAAAGACGGUCUUGCUGUCACUUAUAGAUGGAUCCGCGCUGCAUUAGCUAGUUGGUAAGGUAACGGCUUACCAAGGCAACGAUGCAUAGCCGACCUGAGAGGGUGAUCGGCAACACUGGAACUGCAACACGAUCCAGACUCCUACGGGCGGCAGCAGUAGGGAAUCUUCCGCAAUGGGCGAAAGCCGGACGGAGCAACGCCGCGUGAGUGAUGAAGGUCUUCGGAUCGUAAAACUCUGUUAUUAGGGAAGAACAUAUGUGUAAGUAACUGUGCAAAUCUUGACGGUACCUAAUCAGAAAGCCACGGGUAACUACGUG
rnacentral:rRNA from 1 species